rnacentral:lncRNA from 1 species
UGACAGGGCUGGAUGAACGUGUGACCCUGGGAGAUCCGGGCUGGACUGUGGACCCCGAUGGGCCAGAGUCCUUGUGGCCCACAGCAUAGCACUGGGGACAGAGCGCUCUAUGCAGGUGGAAGUGUUGGUCGUGCGAAAUCUUGGUAUUCGCAUUUCAAGAAGGGAGUUCUUUUUUCUUUCUUCUUUCUAUGGAACGUUUCAAGUGAUUGGAUAGAAAGAAGGGCUCUGAAGCAGGAGUUUUCACCUGCUCUGAGGGAACUUGGGGCUCCAGGGACGUACCCCAAAUGUUGCCCAGGUUGAAACUCCCUGACAGCCUGUUCUACGUAGUGGCUCGUGGUUUCCAGUUUGAAGAGAGUUGUGCCCCUAAAAGUGUUUGAAACCUGUGGCUUUCAAGCAAGGUACCGUUGUCCCCACAGUGUUCCGUGGGGUAGGGGGUGAUGGAGACUGUGGGCAAGCCUGUUGUUUUUGGCCCCCUGUUGUUACAUGGGACCUGUUUUGACGGUGGGAGGGUGAGAUGUGAAGAUGUGGGAUGAACCUGGAAUGAACGAAUUAAAUAAAGACAUGCAUCCAUCUGUCAGCGA